rnacentral:rRNA from 1 species
CGAAUGCUGACAUAAGUAACGAUAAAGCGGGUGAAAAGCCCGCUCGCCGGAAGACCAAGGGUUCCUGUCCAACGUUAAUCGGGGCAGGGUGAGUCGACCCCUAAGGCGAGGCCGAAAGGCGUAGUCGAUGGGAAACAGGUUAAUAUUCCUGUACUUGGUGUUACUGCGAAGGGGGGACGGAGAAGGCUAUGUUGGCCGGGCGACGGUUGUCCCGGUUUAAGCGUGUAGGCUGGUUUUCCAGGCAAAUCCGGAAAAUCAAGGCUGAGGCGUGAUGACGAGGCACUACGGUGCUGAAGCAACAAAUGCCCUGCUUCCAGGAAAAGCCUCUAAGCAUCAGGUAACAUCAAAUCGUACCCCAAACCGACACAGGUGGUCAGGUAGAGAAUACCAAGGCGCUUGAGAGAACUCGGGUGAAGGAACUAGGCAAAAUGGUGCCGUAACUUCGGGAGAAGGCACGCUGAUAUGUAGGUGAAGCGACUUGCUCGUGGAGCUGAAAUCAGUCGAAGAUACCAGCUGGCUGCAACUGUUUAUUAAAAACACAGCACUGUGCAAACACGAAAGUGGACGUAUACGGUGUGACGCCUGCCCGGUGCCGGAAGGUUAAUUGAUGGGGUCAGCGCAAGCGAAGCUCUUGAUCGAAGCCCCGGUAAACGGCGGCC